UUUAAAAAUGCCGACAGAAGCAUGGAGAAAAAGAAGGGGGAGCCUAGAACCAGGGCCGAAGCUCGCCCCUGGGUGGAUGAAGACUUAAAAGACAGCAGUGACCUGCACCAAGCAGAAGAAGAUGCUGAUGAAUGGCAAGAAUCAGAAGAAAAAGUUGAACACAUCCCCUUCUCUCAUACCCACUAUCCCGAGAAGGAAAUGGUUAAGAGGUCUCAGGAAUUUUAUGAACUUCUCAAUAAGAGACGGUCAGUCAGGUUCAUAAGAAAUGAGCAAGUCCCAAUGGAAGUCAUUGAUAAUGUCAUCAGAACGGCAGGUUUGUAAUUGCAGAUGGGGUCUUUGGAAAUGUUAGUCACCUUACUGGUGUGACUCCAACAAUGGAAAAAUGUCAAAGUUUAAACAU
rnacentral:sRNA from 1 species